GGCGCUUAUUUGAUCCUAGCUGGUCAGUGUUCCAAGUAUGGCCGCGAUGUAAACAACACUGUGCUGGUUUUUAUUUAGUUUUAGUGAGAAAAAGUGAUUAAAAGGAAAUGGGAAAGGUUAAAGCUGUUGAUCCAAGAAAA